GACGAACGCUGGCGGCGUGCUUAACACAUGCAAGUCGAACGGAAAGGCCCUGCUUUUGUGGGGUGCUCGAGUGGCGAACGGGUGAGUAACACGUGAGUAACCUGCCCUUGACUUUGGGAUAACUUCAGGAAACUGGGGCUAAUACCGGAUAGGAGCUCCUGCUGCAUGGUGGGGGUUGGAAAGUUUCGGCGGUUGGGGAUGGACUCGCGGCUUAUCAGCUUGUUUGUGGGGUAGUGGCUUACCAAGGCUUUGACGGGUAGCCGGCCUGAGAGGGUGACCGGCCACAUUGGGACUGAGAUACGGCCCAGAAUCGUACGGGAGGCAGCAGUGGGGAAUAUUGCACAGUGGGCGGAAGCGUGAUGCAGCAACGCCGCGUGCGGGAUGACGGCCUUCGGGUUGUAAACCACUUUCGCCUGUGACGAAGCGUGAGUGACGGUAAUGGGUAAAGAAGCACCGGCUAACUACGUG
rnacentral:rRNA from 1 species